CAGGUCCUUUGGAACACGCUGAGGUUGCGUUCAUGGACUCUUUCAUCUCUUGCUGCAGAGCACUGCUUCAUGUUCUUGUGAUACUUUGCUGCCUUUAUGUGCCAAAGUGGAAAGGAUACUAGGGGAAUUAUAAGAGAGAUUAUAAGUGAGAUUUCCUAUGUGCUGGCAGAGCAAAGAAGGAGUGUGGACCUGUGCUUACAUAACGAACCCCCAUGUGGCAGGAGGGGGUCCUGUGGCCCACAGCUGCCUGGUGAUGUGCAAAAAGCAAAUUGCUGUCACUGCAGACGUGCUGAGAGUGACUUCUGGAAGCUGGACCGAGCUGCUGCACUACUAGAUGAUAGUGGAGGCAACACCAAGACCAUUGCAUAA
rnacentral:lncRNA from 1 species